rnacentral:siRNA from 1 species
AGGAUAUUGAGAACAUUCAGGUUC